rnacentral:rRNA from 1 species
GAUGAACGCUGGCGGCGUGCCUAAUACAUGCAAGUCGAGCGAACAGACGAGGAGCUUGCUCCUCUGACGUUAGCGGCGGACGGGUGAGUAACACGUGGAUAACCUACCUAUAAGACUGGGGUAACUUCGGGAAACCGGAGCUAAUACCGGAUAAUAUAUUGAACCGCAUGGUUCAAUAGUGAAAGACGGUUUUGCUGUCACUUAUAGAUGGAUCCGCGCCGCAUUAGCUAGUUGGUAAGGUAACGGCUUACCAAGGCGACGAUGCGUAGCCGACCUGAGAGGGUGAUCGGCCACACUAGAACUGAGACACGGUCCAGACUCCUACGGGAGGCAGCAGUAGGGAAUCUUCCGCAAUGGGCGAAAGCCUGACGGAGCAACGCCGCGUGAGUGAUGAAGGUCUUCGGAUCGUAAAACUCUGUUAUUAGGGAAGAACAAAUGUGUAAGUAACUAUGCACGUCUUGACGGUACCUAAUCAGAAAGCCACGGCUAACUACGUG